ACCCGGCAUACAUUGUAGGAUUCUGUGUGGGUGAAGCGACAGCUACAUUGUCUGCUGGGUUU
ensembl:miRNA gmo-mir-221-2 gmo-mir-221-2